rnacentral:misc_RNA from 1 species
UUUCCGUAGGUGAACCUGCGGAAGGAUCAUUAAAGAGUAAGGGUCUUCGGGCCCGAUCUCCAACCCUUGGUUUAACUACCAUGUUGCUUUGGCGGGCCCGUCUCACGACCGCCGGAAGUUUGGCUUCGACCAAACUUCUGGCCCGUGCCCGUCAGUGGCCCCUUCAAAUUCUUGAUCAAGUAUGAUGUCUUAGUUAAAAACUUAAUAGUUAAAACUUUCAACAACGGAUCUCUUGGUUCUG